AGUGAACGCUGGCGGUAGGCCUAACGCAUGCAAGUCGAACGGCAGCACAGUAAGAGCUUGCUCUUACGGGUGACGAGUGGCGGACGGGUGAGGAAUACAUCGGAAUCUACUUUUUCGUGGGGGAUAACGUAGGGAAACUUACGCUAAUACCGCAUACGACCUACGGGUGAAAGCAGGGGAUCUUCGGACCUUGCGCGAUUGAAUGAGCCGAUGUCGGAUUAGCUAGUUGGCGGGGUAAAGGCCCACCAAGGCGACGAUCCGUAGCUGGUCUGAGAGGAUGAUCAGCCACACUGGAACUGAGACACGGUCCAGACUCCUACGGGAGGCAGCAGUGGGGAAUAUUGGACAAUGGGCGCAAGCCUGAUCCAGCCAUACCGCGUGGGUGAAGAAGGCCUUCGGGUUGUAAAGCCCUUUUGUUGGGAAAGAAAAGCAGCAGGUUAAUACCCCGCUGUUCUGACGGUACCCAAAGAAUAAGCACCGGCUAACUUCGUG
rnacentral:rRNA from 1 species